rnacentral:sRNA from 27 species
CUGCGUGACGAAGCCCGUGGCAAAGUAGACAAUAAAGCCUGAGCGUUAAGUCAGCUAACGAGAGACGCCGGUUAAGCCGGCGUUUUUUU